UGGGGAAUUUUGGACAAUGGGCGAAAGCCUGAUCCAGCAAUGCCGCGUGUGUGAAGAAGGCCUUCGGGUUGUAAAGCACUUUUGUCCGGAAAGAAAUCCUUGGCUCUAAUACAGUCGGGGGAUGACGGUACCGGAAGAAUAAGCACCGGCUAACUACGUGCCAGCAGCCGCGGUAAUACGUAGGGUGCAAGCGUUAAUCGGAAUUACUGGGCGUAAAGCGUGCGCAGGCGGUUUGCUAAGACCGAUGUGAAAUCCCCGGGCUCAACCUGGGAACUGCAUUGGUGACUGGCAGGCUAGAGUAUGGCAGAGGGGGGUAGAAUUCCACGUGUAGCAGUGAAAUGCGUAGAGAUGUGGAGGAAUACCGAUGGCGAAGGCAGCCCCCUGGGCCAAUACUGACGCUCAUGCACGAAAGCGUGGGGAGCAAACAGGAUUAGAUACCCUGGUAGUCCACGCCCUAAACGAUGUCAACUAGUUGUUGGGGAUUCAUUUCCUUAGUAGCGUAGCUAACGCGUGAAGUUGACCGCCUGGGGAGUACGGUCGCAAGAUUAAAACUCAAAGGAAUUGAC
rnacentral:rRNA from 1 species